AUGAACGCUGGCGGCGUGCUUAACACAUGCAAGUCGAACGAAGCACUCUAUUUGAUUUUCUUCGGAAAUGAAGAUUUUGUGACUGAGUGGCGGACGGGUGAGUAACGCGUGGGUAACUUGCCUCAUACAGGGGGAUAACAGUUGGAAACGACUGCUAAUACCGCAUAAGCGCACAGGAUCGCAUGAUCCGGUGUGAAAAACUCCGGUGGUAUGGGAUGGACCCGCGUCUGAUUAGCCAGUUGGCAGGGUAACGGCCUACCAAAGCGACGAUCAGUAGCCGACCUGAGAGGGUGACCGGCCACAUUGGGACUGAGACACGGCCCAAACUCCUACGGGAGGCAGCAGUGGGGAAUAUUGCACAAUGGGGGAAACCCUGAUGCAGCGACGCCGCGUGAGCGAAGAAGUAUUUCGGUAUGUAAAGCUCUAUCAGCAGGGAAGAAGAAUGACGGUACCUGACUAAGAAGCACCGGCUAAAUACGUGCCAGCAGCCGCGGUAAUACGUAUGGUGCAAGCGUUAUCCGGAUUUACUGGGUGUAAAGGGAGCGCAGGCGGUGCGGCAAGUCUGAUGUGAAAGCCCGGGGCUCAACCCCGGUACUGCAUUGGAAACUGUCGUACUAGAGUGUCGGAGGGGUAAGUGGAAUUCCUAGUGUAGCGGUGAAAUGCGUAGAUAUUAGGAGGAACACCAGUGGCGAAGGCGGCUUACUGGACGAUAACUGACGCUGAGGCUCGAAAGCGUGGGGAGCAAACAGGAU
rnacentral:rRNA from 1 species